rnacentral:rRNA from 1 species
GACGAACGCUGGCGGCGUGCUUAACACAUGCAAGUCGAACGGAAAGGCCCUGCUUUUGUGGGGUGCUCGAGUGGCGAACGGGUGAGUAACACGUGAGUAACCUGCCCUUGACUUUGGGAUAACUUCAGGAAACUGGGGCUAAUACCGGAUAGGAGCUCCUGCUGCAUGGUGGGGGUUGGAAAGUUUCGGCGGUUGGGGAUGGACUCGCGGCUUAUCAGCUUGUUGGUGGGGUAGUGGCUUACCAAGGCUUUGACGGGUAGCCGGCCUGAGAGGGUGACCGGCCACAUUGGGACUGAGCUACGGCCCAGACUCCUCCGGGCGGCAGCCGUCGGGUGUGUUGCCCAAUGGGCGGAAGCCUGAUGCCGCAACGCCGCGUGCGGGGUGACGGCCUUCGGGUUGUGAACCGCUUUCGCCUGUGCCGAAGCGUGAGUGCCGGUCCUGGGUAGAGAAGCACCGGCUAACUCCGUG